UACAGGGGGGGCAAGCGUUGUUCGGAAUUACUGGGCGUAAAGGGCCAGUAGGCGGCCAACUAAGUCACACGUGAAAUCCCCAGGCUUAACCUGGGAACUGCGUGUGAUACUGGAUGGCUUGAAUUCGGGAGAGGGAUGCAGAAUUCCAGGUGUAGCGGUGAAAUGCGUAGAUAUCUGGAGGAACACCUGCGGCGAAGGCGGGUUGCUGGGCUGACACUGACGCUGAUGUGCGAAAGCUAGGGGAGCGAACGGG
rnacentral:rRNA from 1 species